rnacentral:rRNA from 1 species
UACAGAGGGUGCUAGCGUUGUUCGGAAUCAUUGGGCGUAAAGGGCGUGUAGGCGGUUUGUUAAGUCAUGUGUGAAAUCCCUCGGCUCAACCGGGGAACGACGCAUGAAACUGGCAAGCUAGAGUACCAAAGAGGGGGGUGGAAUUCCCGGUGUAGCGGUGAAAUGCGUAGAUAUGUGGAGGAAUACCAGUGGCGAAGGCGACUCUUUGGCCUGUAACUGACGCUGAGGCGCGAAAGCGUGGGGAGCAAACAGG